GAUGAACGCUGGCGGCGUGCCUAAUACAAGCAAGUCGAGCGAAUGGAUUAAGAGCUUGCUCUUAUGAAGUUAGCGGCGGACGGGUGAGUAACACGUGAGUAACCUGCCCAUAAGACUGGGAUAACUCCGGGAAACCGGGGCUAAUACCGGAUAACAUUUUGAACCGCAUGGUUCGAAAUUGAAAGGCGGCUUCGGCUGUCACUUAUGGAUGGACCCGCGUCGCAUUAGCUAGUUGGUGAGGUAACGGCUCACCAAGGCAACGAUGCGUAGCCGACCUGAGAGGGUGAUCGGCCACACUGGGACUGAGACACGGCCCAGACUCCUACGGGAGGCAGCAGUAGGGAAUCUUCCGCAAUGGACGAAAGUCUGACGGAGCAACGCCGCGUGAGUGAUGAAGGCUUUCGGGUCGUAAAACUCUGUUGUUAGGGAAGAACAAGUGCUAGUUGAAUAAGCUGGCACCUUGACGGUACCUAACCAGAAAGCCACGGCUAACUACGUGCCAGCAGCCGCCGUAA
rnacentral:rRNA from 1 species